GUUAUAUGGUCAAGUGAAGAAGCGCAUACGGUGGAUGCCUUGGCAGUCAGAGGCGAUGAAAGACGUGGUAGCCUGCGAAAAGCUUCGGGGAGUCGGCAAACAGACUUUGAUCCGGAGAUGUCUGAAUGGGGGAACCCAGCCAUCAUAAGAUGGUUAUCUUACGCUGAAUACAUAGGCGUAAGAGGCGAACCAGGGGAACUGAAACAUCUAAGUACCCUGAGGAAAAGAAAUCAACCGAGAUUCCCUUAGUAGUGGCGAGCGAACGGGGACUAGCCCUUAAGUGGCUUUGAGAUUAGCGGAACGCUCUGGAAAGUGCGGCCAUAGUGGGUGAUAGCCCUGUACGCGAAAAUCUCUUAGUCAUGAAAUCGAGUAGGACGGAGCACGAGAAACUUUGUCUGAAUAUGGGGGGACCAUCCUCCAAGGCUAAAUACUACUGACUGACCGAUAGUGAACUAGUACCGUGAGGGAAAGGCGAAAAGAACCCCGGAGAGGGGAGUGAAAUAGAUCCUGAAACCGUAUGCGUACAAGCAGUGGGAGCCCACUUUGUUGGGUGACUGCGUACCUUUUGUAUAAUGGGUCAGCGACUUAUUUUCAGUGGCGAGCUUAACCGAAUAGGGGAGGCGUAGCGAAAGCGAGUCUUAAUAGGGCGUCUAGUCGCUGGGAAUAGACCCGAAACCGGGCGAUCUAUCCAUGGGCAGGUUGAAGGUUGGGUAACACUAACUGGAGGACCGAACCGACUACCGUUGAAAAGUUAGCGGAUGACCUGUGGAUCGGAGUGAAAGGCUAAUCAAGCUCGGAGAUAGCUGGUUCUCCUCGAAAGCUAUUUAGGUAGCGCCUCAUGUAUCACUGUAGGGGGUAGAGCACUGUUUCGGCUAGGGGGUCAUCCCGACUUACCAAACCGAUGCAAACUCCGAAUACCUACAAGUGCCGAGCAUGGGAGACACACGGCGGGUGCUAACGUCCGUCGUGAAAAGGGAAACAACCCAGACCGUCAGCUAAGGUCCCAAAGUUAUGGUUAAGUGGGAAACGAUGUGGGAAGGCUUAGACAGCUAGGAGGUUGGCUUAGAAGCAGCCACCCUUUAAAGAAAGCGUAAUAGCUCACUAGUCGAGUCGGCCUGCGCGGAAGAUGUAACGGGGCUCAAACCAUACACCGAAGCUACGGGUAUCACGUAAGUGAUGCGGUAGAGGAGCGUUCUGUAAGCCUGUGAAGGUGAGUUGAGAAGCUUGCUGGAGGUAUCAGAAGUGCGAAUGCUGACAUGAGUAACGACAAUGGGUGUGAAAAACACCCACGCCGAAAGACCAAGGUUUCCUGCGCAACGUUAAUCGACGCAGGGUUAGUCGGUCCCUAAGGCGAGGCUGAAAAGCGUAGUCGAUGGAAAACAGGUUAAUAUUCCUGUACUUCUGGUUAUUGCGAUGGAGGGACGGAGAAGGCUAGGCCAGCUUGGCGUUGGUUGUCCAAGUUUAAGGUGGUAGGCUGGAAUCUUAGGUAAAUCCGGGAUUCUAAGGCCGAGAGCUGAUGACGAGCUAACUUUUAGUUAGCGAAGUGGUUGAUGCCAUGCUUCCAAGAAAAGCUUCUAAGCUUCAGGUAACCAGGAACCGUACCCCAAACCGACACAGGUGGUUGGGUAGAGAAUACCAAGGCGCUUGAGAGAACUCGGGUGAAGGAACUAGGCAAAAUGGCACCGUAACUUCGGGAGAAGGUGCGCCGGUGAGGGUGAAGGACUUGCUCCGUAAGCUCAUGCCGGUCGAAGAUACCAGGCCGCUGCGACUGUUUAUUAAAAACACAGCACUCUGCAAACACGAAAGUGGACGUAUAGGGUGUGACGCCUGCCCGGUGCCGGAAGGUUAAUUGAUGGGGUUAGCUAACGCGAAGCUCUUGAUCGAAGCCCCGGUAAACGGCGGCCGUAACUAUAACGGUCCUAAGGUAGCGAAAUUCCUUGUCGGGUAAGUUCCGACCUGCACGAAUGGCGUAACGAUGGCGGCGCUGUCUCCACCCGAGACUCAGUGAAAUUGAAAUCGCUGUGAAGAUGCAGUGUAUCCGCGGCUAGACGGAAAGACCCCGUGAACCUUUACUAUAGCUUUGCACUGGACUUUGAAUUUGCUUGUGUAGGAUAGGUGGGAGGCUUUGAAGCGUGGACGCCAGUCUGCGUGGAGCCAUCCUUGAAAUACCACCCUGGCAACUUUGAGGUUCUAACUCAGGUCCGUUAUCCGGAUCGAGGACAGUGUAUGGUGGGUAGUUUGACUGGGGCGGUCUCCUCCUAAAGAGUAACGGAGGAGUACGAAGGUGCGCUCAGACCGGUCGGAAAUCGGUCGUAGAGUAUAAAGGCAAAAGCGCGCUUGACUGCGAGACAGACACGUCGAGCAGGUACGAAAGUAGGUCUUAGUGAUCCGGUGGUUCUGUAUGGAAGGGCCAUCGCUCAACGGAUAAAAGGUACUCCGGGGAUAACAGGCUGAUACCGCCCAAGAGUUCAUAUCGACGGCGGUGUUUGGCACCUCGAUGUCGGCUCAUCACAUCCUGGGGCUGAAGCCGGUCCCAAGGGUAUGGCUGUUCGCCAUUUAAAGUGGUACGCGAGCUGGGUUUAGAACGUCGUGAGACAGUUCGGUCCCUAUCUGCCGUGGACGUUUGAGAUUUGAGAGGGGCUGCUCCUAGUACGAGAGGACCGGAGUGGACGAACCUCUGGUGUUCCGGUUGUCACGCCAGUGGCAUUGCCGGGUAGCUAUGUUCGGAAUAGAUAACCGCUGAAAGCAUCUAAGCGGGAAACUAGCCUCAAGAUGAGAUCUCACUGGAACCUUGAGUUCCCUGAAGGGCCGUCGAAGACUACGACGUUGAUAGGUUGGGUGUGUAAGCGCUGUGAGGCGUUGAGCUAACCAAUACUAAUUGCCCGUGAGGCUUGACCAUAUAACACCCAAGCAAUU
rnacentral:rRNA from 4 species